rnacentral:lncRNA from 1 species
UGUGCGUGCAGGAGCUGGCGGCGUGACCUCCUGGUGACGUGAGCUCCUAGAGGCGUGAAAAAUCCUUUGGCAAUGUGAGCUCCUGGCGGCAGCGCUGGAGAUCGCGAGGGGGAGGUACGAGCAGGUGAGCAGCCCAACUAAUAGGUCCAAUUAUAAUGAUGGGACCUGUUUUGAAAUAUUGAAGGCUAGUUAUUAGCUAUCUGCUGUGGGUUGAUAUAUUUUUGGAAAUUUAUUUUUGGAAGAACCCCCGAUACAUAGUUUUGGGAAAUAACUUUUUUGGAAACUCUUGGAGUUGCUCUUAUAAAAAAGAGCACAUUUUAUUUCUAAUUAUAUUCAUAUUAUUUUUUAAAAGUCUUGUCCCUCACCGUUGACUCGAAGCCUUGGUCCUCGCCAAGUCAUCUUGAAAGGAAUUAGAAAAAAAGAGUGCACAUUUCUAAUAACUAUAUAUUCAUAUUACUCUACCUUUUACAAGUGUUGGUCCCUCACCGUCGACUCGAAGUCUUGGUCCUUCCCAAGUCAUCCUGAAAGGAAUUAGACAAAAAGAGUGCACAUUUCUGAUAACUAUAUAUUCAUAUUACUAUACUUUUUACAAGUGUUGUUCCC